UGGGAGCCCUUGGUCCGAUGCAGGUCGUGUGUGUUUGUGACUCGUGUGGGCAGCUGUUGGAGGGAGCCGUGACGGACCGGUGGAGGUGGUGUCAUGUAUUGAAGGUGGAGGUUCCGGUUUGGCCAUCCAUGUGAGGUCGUUGUGCUUUGGAGCUUCCGUGUGCAGUGACCCAGCAUGUCCUUGGGUGGAUGUCUUUCUGCCGUGAAGAGAGAGGAAUGGAGAGGGAGAGGCACGGGAUGAAGAGGUUGAACCAUGGAUCAUCUACCUUCUUCACAGCUUGAACUGGCGACGGCUGUGCCUACCUGAAAGGUCUGUGUGCCUUUCCUCGUGGCCAUGUUGUCACGAUUGAGGUUGCUGUUGUUGUGGAGGGAUCUGUGCCUUGUUUUGGAGGGACCUGUGCCCCUGCCCUCACCUGGCCAGCGUGGAACGACGUGUGCUGUGCUUGUGAUGC